AUUGAACGCUGGCGGCAGGCCUAACACAUGCAAGUCGAGCGAGCGGCGGACGGGUGAGUAAUGUCUGGGAAACUGCCUGAUGGAGGGGGAUAACUACUGGAAACGGUAGCUAAUACCGCAUACCAUCAGAUGUGCCCAGAUGGGGUGAGCUAGUAGGUGGGGUAACGGCUCACCUAGGCGACGAUCCCUAGCUGGGCUGAGAGGAUGACCAGCGACACUGGAACCAAGACGCGGUCGAGACGCCUACGGGAGGUAGCGGUGGAGAAUAGUGCACAAUGGGCGCAAGCCUGAUGCAGCCAUGCCGCGGAUGUGAAGAGGGCCUUGGGGUUGUAAAGCACGUUCAGCGGGGAGGCGUUACCCGCAGAAGAAGCACCGGCUAACUCCGUGCCAGCAGCCGCGGUAAUAC
rnacentral:rRNA from 1 species